CAGAAAAAAUUCACCGCAUUCUUCUGCUCCACUGAGCACUCCCCCUGGCCACAUGCAUCUCGCCGCCGCCGACCACCCCCACCGCGGCGGCGGCGGCCGCGCCGCCCUCGGCCUCGGCCUCGGCCACCUCGCGGCCGCGGCGCUCCGCCGGGAGCACCGGCGCCGCGCGCUCGCCGGGGGGGCCGUCCUCGCCUCGGCGCUGCUCCUGGUGGCCACGCCGCGGCUCCGCCACUCCCCCGCGCUCCACCUCUUCGCCGACAUGCGCAACCUCCUCGGCGUCCCCAACACGCUCAACGUGCUCACCGCCUACCCGCUCCUCCUGGCGGGCGUGCCCGGGCUCGUCCUCUGCCUCUGUGGCAGUGGGUGCUUCGGCAUCAGCUUGAGAUGGGAGGCCUUGGGAUGGUUCCUCUUCUAUGCUGGGAAUGUAGCAGCAGCAUUUGGCUCGGCUUACUAUCACCUCAAACCAGAUGAUGACCGCUUAAUUUGGGACAGGUUGCCGAUGAUGAUAUCAGCUUCUUCAAUGUUGUCUAUAUUGGUAAUUGAAAGAGUUGAUGAAAGGGCUGGGUUAUCUUGUUUGCUAUCACUCUUAUCUCUCAUACUGGUGAGCAGCGCAUGUGAAAGGGUUCUUGAUGAUAUGCGGUUAUGGGUAGUUUUGAAUUCCGCUCCUUGCAUUGCAAUUCCUGCAAUGCUAUUCUUGUUUCCUCCAAAAUAUACACACUCAAGAUUUUGGUUUCUUGCCACAGGUUUUUACCUUCUUGCAAGAUUUGAAGGCCUUGCUGACAGAAAGGUAUACAGUGUGAACCGGUACUUCAUCAGCGGCCAUUCCUUGGAGCACCUUUGCUUCGCGAUGGUUACCUUGAUUCUUACUGUGAUGCUGUCCUUCAGAAAUGUUAAGAUCGUCAGGUACAUUUUUUGAACGGCUGUUCCAUAGAAUAGUUCUGCUCAACCUUUUUCCAUAUUAUGAUAGGUCUAGCAACUCAAGGACAUGAUCGCUCUACACUUCCAGUAAAUAAGACUCAUGACAUCCUCUGCUGGUCAGGGAUCAUCUCAAAGUUCUGAAUGUUCAGAAGACGGCCACCGAUGCAGCUGACAAAAACUUUCUUCACAGCUAACUCAUCUACCUUAUCCUUGUUUUUUUUUUUCCCUUGGUUUCCAUUCUCUCCUACACCCUGAUGUGUUCCAGAUUGAUGUGCCCCUCCCUGACUUUGUAUGUUCAUGUUGUAAUUUGUGAAGCAACCCAGAAUUGUACGUGUUUUGUUAACUUUUGAGGGUAAAAAAAAAGGUACUUAACGGCGAGAUUGCAGUGCUAAUUUUUGCCCUGAA